rnacentral:rRNA from 1 species
ACUCCUACGGGAGGCAGCAGUGGGGAAUAUUGCACAAUGGGCGCAAGCCUGAUGCAGCCAUGCCGCGUGUGUGAAGAAGGCCUUCGGGUUGUAAAGCACUUUCAGUCGUGAGGAAGGUAGUGUAGUUAAUAGCUGCAUUAUUUGUACGUUAGCGACAGAAGAAGCACCGGCUAACUCCGUGCCAGCAGCCGCGGUAAUACGGAGGGUGCGAGCGUUAAUCGGAAUUACUGGGCGUAAAGCGCAUGCAGGUGGUUGUUAAGUCAGAUGUGAAAGCCCGGGGCUCAACCUCGGAAUAGCAUUUGAAACUGGCAGACUAGAGUACUGUAGAGGGGGUAGGAAUUUCAGGUGUAGCGGUGAAAUGCGUAGAGAUCUGAAGGAAUACCGGUGGCGAAAGGCGGCCCCUGGACAGAUACUGACACUCA